rnacentral:tRNA from 1 species
AGGGUUAGUCACUUAAUUGGUAAAGGACUUUCUUGUCACGAAAGUAGAUGUCGGUUCGAAUCCGGUCUGGCCCG